GGUGGCUCAGUGGUAGAGCAUCUGCCUUGUUUGCAUAAGGCCCUGGGUUCAAUUCCUCAGCACCA
rnacentral:tRNA from 1 species